rnacentral:tRNA from 1 species
UGCAGGCUAGUUGGUACUGAGUCGACUUUCAUACGGUCGGUCGCCUGGUUCGAUUCCGGGGCUUGCAAC